ACCGCCUUCUUAGCCUGGUGAGUAGCAUUGACUGCGUGGGGGAACACUGGCUCCGGUCCCGGUCGCGGUCGCGGCAAGUUACAUCGUCUUCCAAUCUGUCCGCGUCCGCCGCCGCCCGUGACAGAGCCAGCAUGUUCGGGAUGCUGAGCAGCAGCUUUGAGGAUGAUCCCUUCUUCUCUGAUUCUUUUAUUGCACACCGAGAAAGUAUGCGACAGAUGAUGAGAAGUUUUUCUGAACCCUUUGGAAGAGACUUGCUCAGCAUCUCUGAUGGUAGAGGAAGAGCUCAUCAUAAUCAUAUGAGACAUGAUGAUGGUGAAAAUUCCUUGACUGCAGUGAAUUCUCUUGUGCCUUUUGGCAGUUUUGGUGGUAUGCGUACAGAUGUCAACCCUUUUCAGGCAAUGGACCGAAUGAUGUUAAAUAUGCGAAACAGUAUGCAGGAAUUACAAAGAAACUUUGGUCACCUUUCAGUGGAUCCAAAUGGACAUUCAUUUAGUUCUUCCUCAGUUAUGACUUAUUCCAAAGUAGGAGAUGAACCCCCAAAGGUUUUCCAGGCCUCAACUCAAACCCGUAGGGCUCCAGGAGGAAUAAAGGAAACUAGGAAAGCAAUGAGAGAUUCUGAUAGUGGGCUAGAAAAAAUGGCUGUUGGUCAUCAUCUUCAUGACCGAGCUCAUGUCAUUAAAAAGUCAAAGAAUAACAAGACUGGAGAUGAAGAGGUCAAUCAAGAGUUCAUCAAUAUGAAUGAAAGUGAUGCUCAUGCUUUUGAUGAUGAGUGGCAAAAUGAGAUUUUGAAGUACAAACCAGUGGGACAGUGGCGCAAUGUAGAAAACCCUAGGAUGAGAAGCGUUGGUCAUGAGAAUUCAGGUUGCCGAGAGCUUAAAAGAAGGCCUUAAGAGAGUGGAGGAUUGCUGCAGAAGGUGGAAGGCUUCACAGAACCAGCGGUGGACAAGUGGCUAUCAAGGAGAAACCUCAUCAAAGUCCAGCCAUUGAACAUGGAAGAAGAUCAAAUGUUUUUGUGGACAAACUCAACAUCAAAGGAUCACCUGUGAAAAUCAACAAAAAAUAAAUAGCCUUGCAUUUGAUUUCUUUAGUUUUGAUUGUUUUAACAGAGAAAGUAAUGGUGCUGGGUAAUACAUAUAAGACCAAUCUCUUGUUAAAUCAGUACUGUAUUUAACUUUCUUCUGAAUGUUCUUGGAAGUACUAGCUUUAUAUUGUCCAUACUUUAGGAAUAAAACUUUGAUUUUCAACAAUUCAAGUUGCUAAACAUUCUAUACACUCUUUUCUUUAAAACAUACUAAUUUUUAAGGCUGAUUUUGCUUUCCCAAUUAUCUUCCUAUUGGCUGUGUUUUCUUUUAUAUAGUUAAGAUUGAAUGUAGAGCUAGUUUUAUCAUACGUAUUAGUUAUAAGAAAGUAAAAUAUUAAAAAAUAGUCAGUUUUCACGAACACACCACCACAGUGAUGCUAAGAAAGGUACAAUAAUUUAAAUCAGAUUUCAUGUGUUAUAUAGCCAGCUAGCUUAAGAUUUAAAAAAAGUAAAGCAAAAUUAUAUUAGUACUGUUUUAUGAGAAAUUAGUUAUUUUGAUAAAUUACAUUAAAAUCAAAGAAUUCUGAAUUUUAAGGAGAUUUUCAAUUGCUAAUAUAUGAGUUUUAUUCUUAUAAUUUCAUUAUACAGUGUAUUCUUUUUUUUCCACAUCACAUUCUUAACAUUCAUCAGACUUUACAUUGACCUUUCUCUUUAACUUCUUAAAGUAGCAUAUUUCUGCUCUCCUUUCCCACAAACAGCUUAAUCUGUCUCCACAGUUAACAUUCUAAAGUUGGAAUGUCCUUGGAGAAACUCUGCUCAGCCUUUUUGUGACAUUUAGAAAAAUGCAUUUGGUAUUCUGUAAACCUGGAUGAUUGAUUGUCUCAAAAUUUCUUUGACAGGUGAUAUGUGUUCUUGAGCAAGGUACUUAAUAAUUCAGUUCCCUUUUAUACCAUUUAAAAAUUCAUCUUUAGCUUUUUUAUUCUAGAAUUCAAGCAUUAAUCUGUUUUUAGAAAAAGUUUGAAGUUUAUGAGAAUAUUAAAUCUUAACCUUAAGUUUUUGUUGUUUCAGAGGAAAAAAGACCAGAAAAUCCACUAUCACCUUGUAAUCCUAAUAUCUUACUUUUUUCACUUUUGAAAUAGAACUAUGUGAUUGAGCUUAUACUUUCCUAUUUUCCAUAUUGUAUCCUGUUAAUUUUAUUAGUCGGUAUGUUUCAUGCCUGUAAUUAGUUACAAAAUAAGAUGCAUACCUGUCAAUUCAUUUUUAUAACAAAAAGUAAUUGAGCAUGUAUUAAUUAAAGAUGUUAACAUUUUC